rnacentral:tRNA from 1 species
UGGUAAGUAGUUUAAACAAAAUAAAUG